AUAGAUCUGGGUUGUGGGUUAUGAUUACAUAUAGGGUUGGGAAUAGGCCAGGCCGGCCUACAGGGGCCUAUGGCCUGGCCUGUUUAAGCCUGGCCUGGCCUGGCCUGUUUAUUAAAAAGGCUAGGCUUAGGCUUUUUAAAAAGCCUAUUUAAGUAAAUAGGUCAGGCUUAGGCUAUAAAAAAAGCCUAUGAAUCCUAAUAGGCCGGCCUGUUUAUGCAUGUUAGGCUUCAUAGUGGACUUUUUAAAUAGGCUUUAAAGCUUUAUAGUGAAAUAUAUUUUUAAGGCCUUAUAGUGAUAGACAAAUUUUACACUGGAAUAGGCUUUGAAGCCUAUUAAGCCUAUUUAAAAGUAGAUAAAAUGGAAUGUUUAGUGACUUUAAUAGUAAGUAGGCCUGUAAAUAGGCUUUCAGGCCAGGCCAGGCUUUUAAAUAGGCCAGGCCAGGCCAAAAUAAUAGGCCUAUGAAAGGCCAUAGGCCAGGCUCAGGCCUGCAAAUUUUUUCGUAGACCAGGCUCAGGCCUAUCAAAGCCUGGCCUGGCCUGGCCUAUUCCCAACCCUAAUUACAUAUGAGUUUAAUUCAUCUAAUAAAAUAGAAUUUUGAAAGAUCCAUUUCCAUUUCUCCCCCAUUCUCGUUCUCAAUUUCAAUACCCUCCUUCUCCGGUUUCAAUUCAAUUUCAUUUUCAAUUUCUAACAACAACCCCUCUUAUCAAUUUUUGGAAUUGCAACCUAAAAGAAAAGAUGAAAGUUGAGGAUAAUGACAUGUUUCCAUGGCUCUUCUUGAAAAAGGGUGUACAAGGGACCCAAAUUGAAGCAAAUUAGAAAUGGGUAUUCUUAGUAUAGCACCGUUACUUUUGAAGGAGGAGGAUAUUGCUGAUGUCUAUAGCACCACAACCACCAUCGGCAAAAAAAAAAAAAAAAAAUCAGUGCAGGAAGAUGGUGAACAAAAAAAAAUAAUGUUUUUUUUCAAAGUUAAAGUACUUUUGUUUGUACUGGUUGGAGGUUAAAGGAACAAAAAAAAUGAGUGAUGUGUCUAUUUUAAUUGAAGUGUGUUAAAGAGUGUAUUAGGGAGUGUGACC
rnacentral:lncRNA from 1 species